AUGAACGCUGGCGGCGUGCCUCAUACAUGCCAGUCGAGCGCACAGACGAGGAGCUUGCUCCUCUGACGUUAGCGGCGGACGGGUGAGUAACACGUGGAUAACCUACCUAUAAGACUGGGAUAACUUCGGGAAACCGGAGCUAAUACCGGAUAAUAUAUUGAACCGCAUGGUUCAAUAGUGAAAGACGGUUUUGCUGUCACUUAUAGAUGGAUCCGCGCCGCAUUAGCUAGUUGGUAAGGUAACGGCUUACCAAGGCAACGAUGCGUAGCCGACCUGAGAGGGUGAGCGGCCACACUGGAAAUGGGACACGGUCCAGACUCCUACGGGAGGCAGCAGUAGGGAAUCUUCCGCAAUGGGCGAAAGCCUGACGGAGCAACGCCGCGUGAGUGAUGAAGGUCUUCGGAUCGUAAAACUCUGUUAUUAGGGAAGAACAAAUGUGUAAGUAACUAUGCACGUCUUGACGGUACCUGAUCAGAAAGCCACGGCUAACUACGUG
rnacentral:rRNA from 1 species